AUUUUUCUUCUUAUUUAACAUGUGUAGCCUACCUUGUAUUACUUUAGGUGGUGGAUACUUGAGAAACUGUUCACCAUCACUUCGAAAAAGUUCCUUGACAAUUGGUAUGGGAGCGUAUUUGCUGAGAAAGUCUGUGGGCAAUGUAACUCCACCUUCAUAAAGCUUGUGCACUUCAGCGAAACUAUCAAACUCAAGACUCAAAAUAUUUCCAUCGAAUGCAUCAGUCAAGACUGGUAACACAUCUUGGGAUACCGAUUUCAAUGCAUAAGCGAGAAAAUCGGAUGACUUCAAGUGACCAAACGCUUCGUCUCUUGGAAGGUAAACAAAGUCGCUGGGCUUCUCACUGUUAGGAUCUGUGGAGACGAACAAAUAAUACAUGUUAGGUCUAAAGCAAAGCAUGAAAAGUAUAUAAUACAUUACAACAAAAAAUGAAUAAAGUGGGUAACCUUUUGUAGUUUUGGGUCUUCCAGUUCUUCCUCUACGAGGGUAAGGCAAGGUAGAACCUCCAAGAACAGGGCGAGCAUAGGCUUCACCUUUAUCUGGGUUGCCCAAGUCAUUGUAGACAUCAUAGUCAUAAAUUCUAUCCCAUUCCUUUCGUUCUCCAGUUCCAUCGCCUCUUACAACCUUCAAUUCAUCUUCUCUGUACUUCACAAGUGGGGCUGGUGUCUCGCCAGGAAGAUACGUCUGCAUUAUUAUAUGAUGAAUAAGUUGAUUUAUCUAUAUGGUGUCUUAAAGAUGAAGAAGAAGAAAGAAUUAAAUGAAGUAGCUUACGUUGUUGGCAAAGAAAAUACGAGGAGUUUUGUAUUUAGUAUCAUUGUAAACCCAGGAGUUGCAGACAAAGUGAAUGGUUCCGUGGUUAGGAAUGUCUUCGAGAGUGAGAGAUUUGAGGUAGAACUCAUUCUGCAUGAAGUUCUUAAUGUAAAACGCGCCUGGAAUUCCGAAGUCACUGUCCCAUUCGAAAUUAACAUCGUAUGCUUCUUCACUCGCUCCCAACGUUGGUAAUGAUAUUUGCCCUCUUAACUUUGUAGCAGUUCCAACUUUUCCUUUCCCUUGUCCUAUAUCAAAUUUCACACAAAAUUUAACACCUUCAAAUUCAUUCUCACAUCAAUCAUACAACAAAAAUUAAUAAAUAAUCUUAUUCAAUUUGUUCAUUAGUUACUAAAAAAAAUAUAAUUAUACUUUAUUGUAUGUGGUAUGUAUCAAUAUCCUUCAGCAAACAAAAGCAUUGAGUCGUUUUUAGCAUUUAAUAAAAAGUAUUAUCAAAAUAAGUUUUGUUUUUGUCUGAAAAGGAAAAUGUUUUUUUAACAAUUUUUUUAUAAUUAUGAUUGACCAAUAAAAUAGUAACACAUAAUCUAUUGUCAAUAAAUUGUUAAUAAAAGUUAUUAAUAUAUCAUUGUCUACUUGAGAAACCAUUAACAAAACGAAGGAUAGAUUAUUACACAUUUAAUAAUAACAUAUAUUACAUUGAAAAAACGUUUUUUUAACAAUUCUUUUACAACAUAUAUUUAGUAAUUCGUGAUUAAUCUAUUUCAAAUAUAAAAACCAAUAAAACAAUAACAUGUAAUUUAUUUUCAAAAAGUUAUUAAAAAAAAUUAUUUAAUUGCAUACUCCAUUAUAUCGAUUUCUUAUAUGAGAUCAGCCAAGAAAAGUUAACAAAUAAUUUACAUCAUUAAAAUAAGUUUGGUUACUAUUAAAAGAAUCAAUUUACCUAAUGAAAGAUAAAUUAUUAUAUUAUAAACAUGAAUUAUUGAUGUAUGGUAUGAGAAAGUCAAUACAUCCAAAAAUAUGAACUAGCUUCACACUGAGCAGUGUAAAGUAAUUAUUUUUGAAGUCUUGAGAAUGCGAUCAUGGACAGUUUGUGAUUAAAGAUGGAAAUAACGUAAUUAGAGUAAUAUGAUAAUUGAAAGAUGUUUAGAGUAUGUGAAGUGAGUAAGUUACCAUCAGCCUUGGUGGAACUGAUGAGCUGGAUGGAGAUGGAGGUGGCGAAAGCAGUAACGGCGUCGACGAGACUGCCGGCGAAAUCGAAGACGUUGUCGAUGACGCUGGCAGGGUUGAGGAUGCUGUUGAUGUCCAACACAUUCUUUCGCAUAAGCACCACAGUACCCUUUAUCUUCUGCGUGUUUCCUCCGAAAAUUCCUCCCAAUAACGACAUCUUUUCAACUUCUUUUCUGUUUGUUCUUCUUCUCCUUGGAUUAAUGAAGAACACGACCAAACCACUCCUUCUAUUUAUACACAUCCAACUCUCUAACAUACCAAAACAUGUGUUUCUUUUUUUAUUCUUUUCCCCAUUCAAAUCACGAUUAAGCCACGUGGCGGACCUAACAACCUUCAUAAACCAGUUUAAUUACCAUUAUUAAUUAUUCUUUAUCUUUUCUCAGCUUGACUUUUUUCAUCUUAAUCUUAUACUAAUCUUUCUCUUCUUUAAUUUAUAUUACUUUUCUCUUUUAUUCUAUCUAUGUAAAAAGUACACAUCAUUAUGCAAAGGUUCCUGUUUAAGAUUUUAACCACAUUUUUUAUUUUUUAUUUUUUUUAAAUCCAUUCUAAUACAAAAAUAUUUUAAUAUCAAAUCAGAUUGGAUCUUCUAUUUUCUUUUCACUCCAAAUCGAUGCUGAUAAAUAAUUAUCAUUAACUUAUUCACAAAUUGUAAUAAUGAUUAAUUGUUGUCAAUUAUUCAUCGGUUUUAAUAAUAUUUUUCUUUUUUUUGUAAACGAGCUGAUAACCAGUUUUAUAUUUUUAUAUCAUACAUGGUUAUAAACUGGAUAAGCUGAAUUAAUAUUUGUUUAUGUUUGUUCUAAUUUUUUAUUGAGCCACGUUUUUAAUUACAACUAUUUCAAGUUAUUUAUUGUCUCACUACAUUUAGACUAUUUUGGUCAUAUACGUAUGAUUAUUAAAAUAUUCUGGUAAACUUUUACGGAAUCUUUUUAAUAUGAUUUUUUUUAAUUUAUUAUUAGAGGGGUUAUUUCUUUUUAUAUGGUUUAGAAAUCCAAAUUUAAAUAUAUUUUUCUUGUUCAAUGUCUCACAUGCGAUAAUUAAUCCCAUCGAUAUCAUUUUAGCGAAUUUAAGAUCGUAUUUCAUAUUAGUAUAUCGUAAUAGAAGGAGAGAGUUUAGAAGAUAACAUUCUUAUCAUUAUAACUUUUGCAAUAUUAAUAGUUACAAGCUUCCACUUCAUUGAUCAACCCGAUAUGCAAAUAUUUUAAUAAUAUUUUUCAAAAUAAAAUUAGAAAAUAAAAUUAGACUAUAUAGGCUAGUUCCCUUAAUUAACAUUUAAGAAAUCUAUUUUUUUUUUUAAUUUAGCAGUAGUAAACAUUAAUUUUUUGAUAAAGAAAAAUCUCAUUUGGUGUUGAUACACAUCUAUCUUUCAAUCUGAUUAAGAAAAUUAAGCAACUAUAAUUUCAAAGAAUUAUAAUUUUAUCCUCUCAUAAUAUAUUAUUAAUGAAUAUGUCUAUCUUUCAAUUUAAUUAAGAAAAUUGAACUGAUUCAAAAGAUUUUUAGUGUAUUCCUGUUCUAUAAAAUGCACACACAUAACAUCAAUUCCAACAUUGUUUUUUCAAGUGGUGAUGAAUGAAGAUUUUGUUGGAUAAUCUUAUGUUACAGUCAGCAGUCGGGAAUUAACAUUUUUCACCUAUUUGAUAAAUAGCAUUAAAAGAAUGAAAAAAACAACUUCACAUCAACGACAUCAACUCCGUAAUGCAAAACUUAAGAAUCUAGUUGUUAACCUUAAGAUAUGCAUUUUGCAAUGGAUAAUGAUAUUUUAAUAACUCUUUUUUAACAAGUUUUUUACAAUAGAACACAUGUCACUAUUUUAUUGGUCUAUUUGAAUUUGUUCUAAAAAAAUAUUUAAAAUGAACCAAUUAUAAACUGCCAUAUAUGCAUUGUCAAAAAGAGUUGUUAAAAAGACUUUUUCCUUUUGCAAUACCAACAAUAUGAACACAGUUGAUGUCUUAAAUGUCAGAAAAGAGUUGCAUUUAUAAUAUUCUCAGCUUUAUACAAAGUACAAAACACAAUUUCUUUAUUAAUAACAAGCACACGAGAAGUUUGAAGGAGUGGAGAUACAUAACUUAGCAAAUGAAGAAAUCAUAUUCCUUCUAUUUGGCAUUUAUUGAAAACAAACGCAACAGUGCAGUAAUAAUAUAGCCUUAGAUGGAGAUACUGUUGGGAAUUCCUCUGAAAGUCAAGCCUUCCUCACUUGAAGGAUAGAGCAGAGUAUAAGGCAUUUUAGCCGGUCCAGUGCGGUUUCUCAAUGACUCAUUGUUAUUCUUCUGUACAAGCUUCUGUUCAAUCUCUGCAAGCUUCUUCCCAAACCUCUUAAAAGCCUCUAAUGGCCCAGCAUCAGAAGUCCAAUAGUCACCACCAUCUCUCUCUCCAAGAUAGAACUCAUCAGAUGUGUGCCUUGACAAGAUCUUUAUAAUCGUAAGGUCAAUAAGGGUCUCCUGCUUUCCGGUAAUAGUUUUCAAAAACUCCUUCUCAGGGUUCUUACCCAAUGCAACAUACUCAGCAGACCCUUUUUCAGGCAUGAAUCUUCUGCUAAUAGUUGGCCUGUUAAGGAUCAAACCACCAUAUGGAUAUUGUCCAAAGUUAACAGCAGCGUGAAGAGCUGAAGCUAUCCAUAUCAGGGUAGUAGAGAUUUCAAUCAACUCUUCAGAAGUAUGCAACUUUGGCCACCAUGGCUUAUCUUUCAAAUCACUGUGACCCACUUCAACAAGUUCUUUCCACCAAGCUUGAAGUUCAGGGUCUUUUUGAAUUGCCUCAUCUGACUUGUAGUAGAAUACGACAUACUCUGCCACCCACGACUUGAUGGCAUCCCAUAUCUCCAGCCCAUCAGAAGCAUAAGGAUAAUCCUCAAUCAAAAGCUUAAUACCGUGGGGAGCAGAUGGAUCCUUAACUGCAACUCCUCUGCACCCGAAUAACAUUGAUUAGCACCAGAGUUAUAUCAAGUUCGAAGCCUUUGUUUUUUUCUUUUUAUCAUAGAUGAGUUGAUUGAAUUUAGUCGUCAAAUAUUUAAGCAAUGCAUAUAUUACUAAUUUGCUAAUAAACUUUACUACAUUACUCACCUCUUGAGGAGAUCAUUAGGUAAUGCUUGAUCGUGGAAAGACCAAUCCUUAUAUAUCACAACAGACAGUUCCAAAGCAUAUCUACCCCAUAAGUAUGUUUUCUCUAUAAUACCGUUUUCAUUGACCAAGGCCUUCCGAGUAAGCGAAUUAAUGUUCAUGGUGUCACGAUAGUGGGGAAACAAGAGUUUGUAAACAGGGUGAAGCACACUCAGUUGCCUAUUUGUUGCUAUGACGAAUGGUUCAACCACUGCAUGAGUGUUUAGCCUAUCGUUCACGUUAUAAGAAUCAAUCAUUAGAUACAUUGACAAAUUUAAUUGCACGGAUCUAAUUGCAAGUUCACAAUAGCAUACCAGUGGCUAAUAAGUUGAUGGUAGCAUGAGUCAUUCACAACGACAUAAGCCUUUGCCAAUAGCCAAAUGUAAGCUUCGACACCCUCGUACGAAGGAACAUAGACUUCACUAACAGGACCAUGGUUGUCGCCUUGAGGAUGCGGCUUGCUUAACUCGAUGGCCAAUGGUGCCAAAGUUCCACCGCUUUUCAAGAAAAAUAUGGUUCUUGUGGCAUAAGUCUUUGUGGUAGAUUGAUUUAUUUUCCUCAAAUAUGGAAUGAGAUAGUCAUGGUGAUCCAAAACGAACAACUUCUUGCUAUGGAUUGCCUAUUUAACCAUGUACAAUUAUUAAUUGAUUGUUGCUCGUUCGAACGACAUUAGAGGAAAAAUGAAAGAACAAGAAAGACAUUUUAAGGUGAAACUUAAUGCUCGUAUCAUCAUUACCUGCUCAACAGUGAGCCCACCCAAGUUAGGCUCCAAAUGUUCUUUUGUUAUAAUGGAAGUGUGAUCACCGUAGGCUUGAGUAUCUAGCUUGCUUCGUGGUGGAAACUCCUGGGACAAUUUAACAUGUGGUGGAUGAGGUCAACAAUCUCAAUCUGAAUAAAAAAUUUUAGCUGCAUGUAGUUUGAUACCAAUCAACUUUAAGCUUACCUCAAGAAUCUUAAUCACAUUAGGAUUAACACCAGCAAUGGUUUCCCUUGCAAAUUCUUCAUCGGUCAUCCAUGCAGACUUAUCCACUGUGCCAUCCAUGUGAUUGAAUGUCGAAUAAAAAAUAGGAAUACAUUGAUGAAACUUUUGUGCAUAUUCAAGAUAUGUAGCAUACCUUGCAUGACUUUAGGUGGUGGAUACUUAAGAAACUGUUCACCAUCAGUUCGAAGAAUUUCCUUAAUGACAGGUAAAGGAGCGAUCUUGCUAAGAAAGUUUGUAGGCAACGUAACUCCACCUUCAUAAAGCUUGCGCACUUCAGCGAAAUUAUCAAACUCAAGGCUCAAAACAUUUCCAUCAAAUGCAUCAGUCAGUACAGGCAACACAUCUUGGACUACAGAUUUCAAUCCAUAAGUGAGAAAAUCAGAUGACUUCAAGUGACCAAAUGCUUCGUCUCUUGGAAGGUAAACAAAGUCGCUGGGCUUCUCACUGUUAGGAUCU
rnacentral:lncRNA from 1 species